AGAAGUAUGUCUGACAAAAGAAUUACUUUGACAGUGUAAAUCAUAGAGAUUUAAAUCCUCUUAUUUCCA
rnacentral:tRNA from 1 species